GAGUGUCCCUCACUAGACAUAUGAGGAUAAUGUCCAAGUCAAUAUGAUUGUUCCAAAAGCCUAAAAUAGUAUCUGGCAUUUUAAAGCUUCUGAUGACCAAGGCUACUUCUUAUAAAGUUCUAGAUUGUACUCCACCAUUCAUCCCUCCUCUCCUAUCUCUGCUGAAGCUGCCUAAGGUCCUGAUAACAUAAGGAAGCACUGCCACUGUGAUAAUGACCAUUUGACAGCAAGGAGUCAAAAUCAUAACACAAAUUAAUAGCAACCACAAAAAGAUGUCUUUUCUUCAAAUUCAAGAACAUAAACUUGAAACUAUGCCAGAAGGUGAAAAGAAAUUCUUAGAAUUAA